GAUGAACGCUGGCGGCGUGCUUAACACAUGCAAGUCGAACGAAGCACUUUAUUUGAUUUCCUUCGGGACUGAUUAUUUUGUGACUGAGUGGCGGACGGGUGAGUAGCGCGUGGGUAACCUGCCUUGUACAGGGGGAUAACAGUUGGAAACGGCUGCUAAUACCGCAUAAGCGCACAGCAUCGCAUGAUGCAGUGUGAAAAACUCCGGUGGUAUAAGAUGGACCCGCGUUGGAUUAGCUAGUUGGUGAGGUAACGGCCCACCAAGGCGACGAUCCAUAGCCGACCUGAGAGUGUGACCGGCCACAUUGGGACUGAGACACGGCCCAAACUCCUACGGGAGGCAGCAGUGGGGAAUAUUGCACAAAGGGCGAAAGCCUGAUGCAGCGACGCCGCGUGAGCGAAGAAGUAUUUCGGUAUGUAAAGCUCUAUCAGCAGGGAAGAUAAUGACGGUACCUGACUAAGAAGCACCGGCUAAAUACGUG
rnacentral:rRNA from 1 species